rnacentral:lncRNA from 1 species
GUCCUCAGGGGGAGGUGACAGCCCUGGGGAGGUCCCCAAGUGGAGGUGACACCCCCUGAGGCCUCCAAAGUGUGGUGAUCCCAAGGGGUGGUGGCACCUCCAUGGAGAAGGUGGCCAUCAGCAAGGUUGUGCCUCCUCUUGGGUGGACAGCAGGUCCUUGGGGGGAGGUGACAGCCCUGGGAAGGUCCCCAAGGGGAGGGGACAGUCAUGGGGAGGUCCCCAAGAGGAGGUGACACCCUCUGAGGCCUCCAAAGUGUGAUCCCAAGCGGUGGUGGCACCUCCAUGGAGAAGUUGACCAUCAGCAAGGUUGUGUCUCCUCUUGGGUGGACAGCAGGUUCUCGGGGGAAGGUGACAGCCCUGGGAAGGUCCCCAAGGGGAGGUGACACCCCCUGAGAUCCCCAAAGGGUGGUGAUCCCAAGGGGUGGUGGCAUCUCCAUGGAGAAGGUGGCCACCACGGGGGAUUCCCAAGGUGGUGGCUGCUCUUGGGUGGAGACAGCAGGUCCCCAGGGGGAGGUGACAGUCCCCAAGUGGAGGUGACACCUCCUGAGGUCUCCGGGGGGAGGUGACAGCUCUGGGGAGGUCCCCAAGUGGUGGUGACACCCCCUGAGGCCUCCAAAGUGUGGUGAUCCCAAGGGGUGGUGACGUCUCCAUGGAGAACCAUCAGCAAGGUUGUAUCUCCUCUUGGGUGGACAGCAGGUCCUCAGGGGGAGGUGACAGCCCUGUGAUGGAGCACCCCCCGGUUCCUCUGGGUCUCGGUGCCUUGGUGUGUCGUCCCACCUCAUCCUUCUUCAUUUUUGGGGUACCCCUGUCCCUCGGGGGUCUGGCACCCCCAUCCUGAGCACCCCAGUUCUGGACACCCCCAUCCUGAGCACCCCAGUUCCUCGGGGCCCAGGCACCCCAAUUUCUUGAGGCCCAGGCACCCCAAUAUUGGGCACCCCAAUCUCUUGGGGCCCGGGCACCCCCUUACUGGGCACCCCAGUUCCUCGGGGCCCGGGCACCCCAAUGGGCCCGGGCACCCCAAUAUUGAGCACCCCAAUCUCUUGGGGCCUGGGCACCCCAGUCUCUUGAGGCCCAGACACCCCAAUCCUGGGCACCUCAGGGCCCAGGCACCCCAAUCUCUUGGGACCCGGCCACCCCAAUACUGGGCACCCCAAUUUCUUGAGACUGGGGCACCCCAAUAUUGGGCACCCCAUUCCAUCAGGACCCAGGCACCCCAAUCUCUUGAGGCUGGGGCACCCCAAUCUCUUGGGACCCGGCCACCCCAAUACUGGGCACCCCAAUUUCUUGAGACUGGGGCACCCCAAUAUUGGGCACCCCAUUCCAUCAGGACCCAGGCACCCCAAUCUCUUGAGGCUGGGGCACCCCAAUCUCUUGGGGCCUGGGCAUCCCAGUUCCUUGGCCCCAGACACCCCAAUAUCUUGGGGCCUGAGCACCCCAAUACUGGGCACCCCAGUUCCUCAGGGCCCUUGGACACCCCAAUUUCUUGAGACCUGGGCACCCCAAUAUUGGGCACCCCAGUUCCUUGGGCCCAGACACCCCAAUAUCUUGAGGCCCAGGCACCCCAAUCUCUUCGGGGCACCCCAAUUCCUCGGGGCCCAGACACCCCAGUACCAGGCACCCCAAUUUCUUGGGGCCCGGUCACCCCGAUCCCUCCAGGCCUGGGCACCCUGAUCCCGGGUACCCCAAUUUUGGGCACCCCAAACUUUCAGGGUCCCAGCACCCCCAUCUCUUGGGGGUCUGGGCACCCCAAUUUUGGGCACCCCAAUCCUUUGGGGGUCCUGGCACCCCAAUCCCUCGGGUCUGGGCACCCCAAAACCCAGAGCACCCCAAUCCCUUGGGACCCUGCACCCCAAUUCUUUGGGGGUCCAGCGCUGGGGCUGGGGGGGCAGGAAAAUGAUUUUUGAGGUAAAAAAUGGGGAUUUUGAGAAAAGGGAAUUUUUUUUUUUUAUUAUUCUUCCUAAGAAUGAAGGUUUCUGAGGGAAAAAGGGGCUGGUUCUGAGGGGGAAAAAAAAAAGGAGCUUUUGGUAAAAAGCAGGAGCUCUGAGAAAAAAAAAAAAAAAAAAUAAAAAGGUAAUUCGAAUUUUAAAAUCA